GCAGCAGCCACGGUAAUACGGAGGGUGCAAGCGUUAUCCGGAUUUAUUGGGUUUAAAGGGUCCGUAGGCGGACUUAUAAGUCAGUGGUGAAAGCCUGUCGCUUAACGAUAGAACUGCCAUUGAUACUGUAAGUCUUGAGUAUAUUUGAGGUAGCUGGAAUAAGUAGUGUAGCGGUGAAAUGCAUAGAUAUUACUUAGAACACCAAUUGCGAAGGCAGGUUACCAAGAUAUAACUGACGCUGAGGGACGAAAGCGUGGGUAGCGAACAGGAUUAGAUACCCCAGUAGUCCCUGUCUCUUAUAC
rnacentral:rRNA from 1 species